GUGGCUGCAUCAAUGCACCGAGUGGACUCAUUUGGGGUGCUUUCUAGACUGGCUGGACUUGGCUGUGUUGUGCGCACAGCAUACUCUGUGAGGGGGCCCCUUUCUCUCUGGCAUGUGGACACUAACCAUAAGUUGAUAAGAUACAACAUUGUACUUUUUGGUGCAGUUGAUGGCUACUCCAGAAAGAUUAUGUGUUUGGAGGCUUCAACAAACAACCGAGCAUCAACAGCAUUUGCAGCUUUCAAAAAAGCAACCGAGUUACACGGAAUACCC